rnacentral:lncRNA from 1 species
UUGAAACUCUUCUUCAUUGUGUCAAGAUCUUCCAGAGAUGAAUCAGUUUUCCCCAGAACUCCCCCAAACGAACACAAGAAUCAGCCCAACAACAGAGCAGGCGACACAAGUGAAAGAUUUUUGCACUAAAGUCAAAGCUAAAUGCACUGAAAAUGAUUUAGCUGACAGUUGCAGCACAAGAUUGUAUUCACAAACACAUUUUUCAAGCGUUAAUAUCAGUCCCAUUGUAAAAAAAAAAAAGGUGCCUUUUAUCGACCGUGUCUUAUAUACUGUGAGUUAUCUGGCUGCCGUUAUUAGCAUUUUAUAUAAAAAGAGCCACUCUUUGAACGGCUCUUUGAAAUGAAUGGCUCCCAAAGACGAUGUUUAAAAACGUCCUCCCUUUAAUCUCACAUUACUGGAGAGUCUUUAAAUUACUGUCAUAUGUCGGGUUAGCAACAAGUUCACCUGUCCUUCCAAACCAUACGAUGCAGUGUGUGCACCGUUACUUUAUAUGAUCUCUGUGUGUUCAUAUGAUUUUGGUCUUUUAUUUUAUGGGAACAUAUUUUAAAAUGUCUAAACAUUCUUUAAAGCUUAAAGUUCUCUUAAACAAAUUAUAUGAAUUCCCAUUGCGUAUGCUUUGGACUCACUUCAGUCUUCCAACAGUGCGUCUCAGUGCAGCAUCUUCACGUUGCGUCUUCAAUCCUCUUUUUUUUUUACUUGGGACACAAAAUUGCUGUUCAUGGGAUAUCCAGUCAUAAUAGAAGUGAAUAGGAAUCAAUGAAGUGUAAAUCAAAGGUUGAAGCAGGAACGAGCAUCUGGAGGCAUGAGGGAAAUUAUAUGUAUAACGUAUAUAUUUAUGUAUUUAUUCUAACUUCAAACUAUUUAAAUUAUUUUUGAGUUUCAUUUGCACAAAUCAACUUGCUGCUGUAACUAAGGGAAAAGGGAAGCCGUUGUUUUUUGUUUUUUUGCUAAAACUGACCAUUUCGACAAUAAGCACACAUAUGCUCCACACACAAAAAAAGUAACACUGUGCACUUUUAGUGAUUGGUUCUUGAGCAUGGUCUGCCCUGGGACCACAACGCUGAAACUAAAAAGAACACUCUAAUGUUAUGUUGUUUUUGCAUCAUAAAACACUGUAAUUUUAGCUUAGAUGUAGCGCAGCACUGUGAGGUAGACCAUCACUGUACCUGAAGGUGGAGGAGACCAGAACAAAGUUAAUGAUUUUAUUCCACACAGAGCCAGUGUUUCAUUCAGCUACUGUUGAGCUCUGAAACAACAUUUAGUGCCAAUGAUGAGAGACGCACUCGGAACAAAAGUAAAAUAAACACUUCUCUCACUGUGGCCUGUCCCAUGUUUGUGCCACAGACUCAUUCAGUAUUCUGGCUCAAACUGACAGUUGAACACAUACUGAAGGAUCCCCACAGUCAAAAGGGGCAAAGUUAGAUCAAAGAUAUGGCAUCCUGUGAUUUUUGUUGCUGAAAUUAAGCAGGACUAUAAAUUUGAGAGAUAUUUGCUAAAUGUAGGCGAGUUAUUUGCAACUUCAGAACAACAAACACAAGGGUAAUCUAAGGUCAUUGGUAGGAAAGGACUGGAAAGAAAAAUGAGAAUGUCAUUUGUGUCAAUAAUUGUUUUGGCGAUGAAUUACCUGUCAUGUUAGAGCGUACAAACAAGGAGAUACUGUUAUUUAGAGAGAAAUAUCUGCCAAAGUAUUAUUGUAAUUAUCCAUCCAUUUGCUCUGCUUUUUCCCGGAUCUUGUAGGCAGCUCAGACUUCCACGCAGCUGGUAGGGAUCGGUGCUCCUGUUUCAAUCUACAAGCACAAAAACAAUCUGUAAUCUCGGUGCUUCUUAAAGGGAAUUCCUACCACUGUAUCAGUGAAGUAUAUUAUUUUGUUUGUCAGUGUCAGUGUUGUGAAGAGCAAUCAAGUUGCCCUGGUGAACGAUGCUCUUUUCUGCUUCAACUUCAAUUACAAAUUGAAAGUCGAGCGCUUUGUGAGGUAAUCCACCAAUAGCAGCAAGUCAAAGAUUUCCAACUUCGAAAAUUUCCAUCAAUCAAACGAUAUACGGUAGUUUUCUCAAUCGAAAACAUGCACAAUAAUCCUCCAACUAGGUAUUACGGCUCUAACUGGGACCACAGCACUUUAUAUACAAAUAAAGUUUUAUAAGCUUUAAAACAAAUAAUAAAAAAUAUAUAGAUAUAACGGUCUGUUCACAACAAUAAGCUAUUGGUGGAUUGGGUUAGUGUGUUGGGAUUUAAAAAGUCCUAACGAGCAAUACCAAACUGGAUUCCAUAUGCAUGUAGAGAUAGUCUAUUUAGUUUGUUUGCUUUUAGCAUUAAUAGCGUAUGGAUGUUGUGUGUGUGAAAUCAAAAUGCUGCCUUAAAUCAUGUAAAUUUUUCAUGAGCUUUUUCCAAUAAAUUUCCAAUAAAACAAUUUAAAGACAAAU